rnacentral:rRNA from 1 species
UUCGCCUUCAUGAAGCUGGAAUUGCUAGUAAUGGCAGGUCAGCAUACUGCCGUGAAUACGUUCCCGGGCCUUGUACACACCGCCCGUCACACCAUGAGAGUUGGGAAUACCCGAAGCCUGUGAGCCAACUUUUAAAGAGGCAACAGUCGAAGGUAGAAUCAAUGAUUGGGGUGAAGUCGUAACAAGGUACC